GAUGAACGCUAGCGGGAGGCCUAACACAUGCAAGCCGAGCGGUAGAGAUUCUUCGGAAUCUUGAGAGCGGCGUACGGGUGCGGAACACGUGUGCAACCUACCUUUAUCUGGAGGAUAGCCUUUCGAAAGGAAGAUUAAUACUCCAUAAUAUAUUGAUUGGCAUCGAUUGAUAUUGAAAGCUCCGGCGGAUAGAGAUGGGCACGCGCAAGAUUAGCUAGUUGGUGAGGUAACGGCUCACCAAGGCGAUGAUCUUUAGGGGCCUGAGAGGGUGAUCCCCCACACUGGUACUGAGACACGGACCAGACUCCUACGGGAGGCAGCAGUGAGGAGUAUUGGUCAAUGGGUGCAAGCCUGAACCAGCCAUCCCGCGUGAAGGACGACUGCCCUAUGGGUUGUAAACUUCUUUUGUAUAGGGAUAAACCUACCCUCGUGAGGGUAGCUGAAGGUACUAUACGAAUAAGCACCGGCUAACUCCGUGCCAGCAGCCGC
rnacentral:rRNA from 1 species